ACCUACCCCUCACAACGCCUCCUCUCUCCUCCCCUUUCAUCCAUCUCCGCCACCGGCCUAGAUCCGGGCCAACUCCGGCCACUUCCUACCCCGCCUACCGUCUCCCAGGAGCCCGACCCCCCUCUCUACAUCCCACUUCGCUGAACCACCAAACCACAUCUCCAAGGCUCCAACAGAAACCCUAGCCCGGUACAAAGAGGAGCAGGAGGUCCUGGCGACGGUUGCGCCCUGGCAGCGGGUUACGGUGAUCAGGAUCGGCGACCAGAUUCACCCCGCGGGGCAGGUACAGCCGGACUUGAUGCUAGAAACUAUCGGCGAUCAGUGUGGCACAUGCACUCGAGCAGCGUAUUACAACAUUGAACGGACACUAUAUUUUCUUCUUCAGAAGGAGAGACCUGAUGGAGCGCAUCAAGCCCGGCCAUGGUACACAUGCGUGCAGGCUGGGAAGCAAAUCUAUACACAUGCUUGCUUUGAUUAUAUACUCCAGUAUAUACUAUACCAUUAACGGAAAUAUAUGAGUGAGGUGAAGAUCAGCUGGAGUAUACAUGUAUUGAAGCUUUUCAUAGGACCUUGAAAAAACAAUUAUAUGGAUAUUAAUUUUUUUAUUUCGUUCAGUUAGGUUUCUUGCCUCUAGAACGUGUAAUAUGUAUUUUCAUAUAUGAAAUGUUUGAUUGGCAUACGUGUUUUAUGUAUACAUUUGCGUCGUGUACUAUUUAUUAUAUUACGUAGAUUCUUUGGUUUUU